rnacentral:tRNA from 1 species
GCCGGAGUGGCGAAAUGGCAGACGCGUCGGAUUCAAAAUCCGAUAAGGGUAAAACCUUGUGUGGGUUCGAGUCCCACCUCCGGUA